GACGAACGCUGGCGGCGUGCUUAACACAGGCAAGUCGAACGGAAAGGCCUCUUUCGGGGGGUACUCGAGUGGCGAACGGGUGAGUAACACGUGAGUAACAUGAACUUGACUUUGGGAUAACUUCAGGAAACUGGGGCUAAUACCGGAUAGGAGCUCCUGCUGCAUGGUGGGGGUUGGAAAGUUUCGGCGGUUGGGGAUGGACUCGCGGCUUAUCAGCUUGUUGGUGGGGUAGUGGCUUACCAAGGCUUUGACGGGUAGCCGGCCUGAGAGGGUGACCGGCCACAUUGGGACUGAGAUACGGCCCAGACUCCUACGGGAGGCAGCAGUGGGGAAUAUUGCACAAUGGGUGGAAGCCUGAUGCAGCAACGCCGUGUGCGGGAUUACGGCCUUCGGAUUGUAAACCGCUUUCGCUCAUGACGAAGCUUUGUGUGACGGUAGUGGGUAAAGAAGCACCGGCUAACUACGUG
rnacentral:rRNA from 1 species